rnacentral:rRNA from 2 species
UACGUAGGUGGCGAGCGUUGUCCGGAAUUACUGGGCGUAAAGGGUGCGUAGGUGGAUUAUUAAGUGGGAUGUGAAAUCCCGGGGCUCAACCCCGGAAUGGCAUUCCAAACUGGUGAUCUAGAGUGCAGGAGAGGAAAGCGGAAUUCCUAGUGUAGCGGUGAAAUGCGUAGAUAUUAGGAAGAACACCAGUGGCGAAGGCGGCUUUCUGGACUGUAACUGACACUGAGGCACGAAAGCGUGGGGAGCAAACAGG